CGGAAGUAAUCGCGACCAAUCCGAGGCUGAGGACCCAGCUGAAGGGGGCGGGACCGGCCUGGGCGCGAGGCAUUGUGGGCCACGGUCUUGGGCUCUCACUCGCAGGCGGUGAGGGCACUGGCCGGUUGUACGGCGCUUGUAGGUGGUGCAGACGCCUUCCCACUCCCCACCCCACCCCACCUCACCCCACACAAAAAAAAUCUAAGUCCUUGCGGCGACUUUCCCGACUGUCUUUUGUUUGCUUGCCCAGCCAAACUGAUUUCACAUCCGCUGCUCUGCCUGCAGCGGCAUCAGAACCAGCCACGCGGCCAGCACGCCGAGUUGGAAGCUCGGAAGCCCGGGCGGGCCCUUGGGGGUCACCAGACUGUUGCUGCUGUCCAUUAGCCCCGAGUUCAGAACCGGAUAGCGCAGGACUCCGCGGUGAGAAGGCAGCUUUGGACCAGACUUUACAGAGAGGCCAACUUCGGGGCAUUUGUCAGGAGUCUUCAAUGACAGAAGCCUGGGUCAAACAGGCUUGCACAAAGCGAACUGGAAGUAGCGUUGCAGAGUGGGCUGCAUGAGCAGUGGGGGCAGCGCCCGUGGGGGCGCAGGCCAACCUGGGGGAAAAGGCUGUAACUCCACCCGUGGCAGUGGCAGCUUCAGCACCCGGAGGGGGCCAUCAGGAGCUGGGCCCUGGCGGUACAGCCUGUGACCUGGAUGCAGGGAACCAGCCGAAGAAUGGGAUAGAGCCUGAAGAAGGGAGAGGAUUCAGUCAGACCUUCCCCUGCAAGCCACGUAAGGUCAACCCAACAUGCCCACAUCCAAUGCGCACCAUCGAUCCCGGGGCGGCCGCACCACAAUAUUGGGCCCUAGCGGGCCUAGAGAUGCGCCUUUUCCUCUAGUGGCGGUGUGGCCUCCGAUGGCAGUGGCCCUCUACUUAGUGCAGCAGGCACGGGGACACUCAGGUAGUCCUCAGACACAGAAGAGAGGGCCAGCAGCGCAUCCGCGAGUACUCUUUU